rnacentral:rRNA from 1 species
CUCCAGACUCCUACGGGAGGCAGCAGUGGGGAAUAUUGCACAAUGGGGGAAACCCUGAUGCAGCGACGCCGCGUGAGCGAUGAAGUAUUUCGGUAUGUAAAGCUCUAUCAGCAGGGAAGAAGAUGACGGUACCUGACUAAGAAGCCCCGGCUAACUACGUGCCAGCAGCCGCGGUAAUACGUAGGGGGCAAGCGUUAUCCGGAUUUACUGGGUGUAAAGGGAGCGUAGACGGCGGCGCAAGCCAGAUGUGAAAGCCCGGGGCUCAACUCCGGGACUGCAUUUGGAACUGUGUGGCUGGAGUGUCGGAGAGGCAGGCGGAAUUCCUAGUGUAGCGGUGAAAUGCGUAGAUAUUAGGAGGAACACCAGUGGCGAAAGCGGCCUGCUGGACGAUGACUGACGUUGAGGCUCGAAAGCGUGGGGAGCAAACAGGAUUAGAUACCCCCGUA